CUGUACAUAGGCAUUGUACCUGCCAAGCCACUCUCGCCUUCACAGAGCUCACAGUUUAGCAGGGGAGAUGGGACUCAGGAACAGAGGGAGAUCAGAGCUGUGAUGGUACUGGUCUCAUGGAAGCAGUUGGAGAGAAGAUGGUAAGACUCGAGAUGGAGAAGGCUGUUGAAAUCACUGAACACCUGAAGCACUGUCCACGGGCCAGAGGAGAUGGGCACAUAUGUGGAAGGACCCCACUGAGCUCGGCCACCUGGACCCCAGACUCAGUUGGUAGGGGAGAGAGUUGGCCAGACUUUGGAGAAGAGAGACGGCUCGAUGUCAGGGAAGAGACAGCUGGACUUCGGGGAGAAGAUGACCUGACUUCUGGGAAGACCACUUGCCCUUCCUGUCCCCUCUUCACCUCCCCUUUCCACUGACAGCCAUUUCCAUCACUCAAUAAAAUUCUCUGCUUUCACCAUCCUUCAAAUA
rnacentral:lncRNA from 1 species